GACGAACGCUGGCGGCGUGCCUAAUACAUGCCAGUUGAGCGAUGAAGAUUGGUGCUUGCCCCAAUUUGAAGAGCAGCGAACGGGUGAGUAACGCGUGGGGAAUCUGCCUUUGAGCGGGGGACAACAUUUGGAAACGAAUGCUAAUACCGCAUAACAACUUUAAACAUAAGUUUUAAGUUUGAAAGAUGCAAUUGCAUCACUCAAAGAUGAUCCCGCGUUGUAUUAGCUAGUUGGUGAGGUAAAGGCUCACCAAGGCGAUGAUACAUAGCCGACCUGAGAGGGUGAUCGGCCACAGUGGGACUGGGACACGGCCCAAACUCCUACGGGAGGCAGCAGUAGGGAAUCUUCGGCAAUGGACGAAAGUCUGACCGAGCAACGCCGCGUGAGUGAAGAAGGUUUUCGGAUCGUAAAACUCUGUGGGUAGAGAAGAACGUUGGUGAGAGUGGAAAGCUCAUCAAGUGACGGUAACUACCCAGAAAGGGACGGCUAACUACGUG
rnacentral:rRNA from 1 species